rnacentral:lncRNA from 1 species
CAAAUACACCGGGAUCGGUAUUGGCUUCGCGUACAAGUACAGGCAACACCUGAAAUCAGAACUUUCAACGAAGGACGGUGCUACGCCAAUGGUGCUGAAACAUUUCUUCGACCAGAAAAUUUGCAACUUUGGCAUACUAGACACUCCUACAGAAGGCUUCGACAAAUCAUCGCUGGAAGAAAUGCUGGAAAGCCUGAAGUUGGUCGACGGCUUUGUAAAAAGCAAGGGAGCAUGGCCCAAGAAAUGUAGCACCUUUGUCGCCGUGCCAACUCCGGACAAGAACUUGGAAAACGUGUACCUCGAAAUAUUCCCGUAA